AACGCGAAGAACCUUACCUACUCUUGACAUCUACAGAACUUAGCAGAGAUGCUUUGGUGCCUUCGGGAACUGUAAGACAGGUGCUGCAUGGCUGUCGUCAGCUCGUGUUGUGAAAUGUUGGGUUAAGUCCCGCAACGAGCGCAACCCUUAUCCUUAGUUGCCAGCACGUUAUGGUGGGAACUCUAGGGAGACUGCCGGUGAUAAACCGGAGGAAGGUGGGGACGACGUCAAGUCAUCAUGGCCCUUACGAGUAGGGCUACACACGUGCUACAAUGGUAUGUACAGAGGGAGGCAAGCCUGCGAGGGUGAGCGGAUCUCUUAAAGCAUAUCGUAGUCUGGAUCGUAGUCUGCAACUCGACUACGUGAAGCUGGAAUCGCUAGUAAUCGCGGAUCAGCAUGUCGCGGUGAAUACGUUCCCGGGUCUUGUACACACCG
rnacentral:rRNA from 1 species